rnacentral:rRNA from 1 species
GCUAGGACGAACGCUGGCGGCGUGCCUAAUACAUGCAAGUCGAACGGUCUUUCUAUGGAAGCUUGCUUCCACUGAGAAGAUAGUGGCGAACGGGUGAGUAACACGUGGGUAACCUGCCCAUAAGAGGGGGAUAACAUCCGGAAACGGGUGCUAAUACCGCAUAGUUUUCUUGAUCGCAUGAUCGGGAAAGGAAAGACGGCCUUUGUGCUGUCGCUUAUGGAUGGACCCGCGGCGUAUUAGUUAGUUGGUGAGGUAACGGCUCACCAAGACGAUGAUACGUAGCCGACCUGAGAGGGUGAUCGGCCACAUUGGGACUGAGACACGGCCCAAACUCCUACGGGAGGCAGCAGUAGGGAAUCUUCCGCAAUGGACGAAAGUCUGACGGAGCAACGCCGCGUGAGUGAAGAAGGUUUUUCCGGAUCGUAAAACUCUGUUGUCAGAGAAGAACAAGUUGGAGAGUAACUGCUCCAGCCUUGACGGUAUCUGACCAGAAAGCCACGGCUAACUACGUGCCAGCCGCAGC